rnacentral:rRNA from 1 species
UACAGAGGUCCCAAGCGUUGUUCGGAUUCACUGGGCGUAAAGGGUGCGUAGGUGGCAAGGUAAGUUUGAUGUGAAAUCUUCGAGCUCAACUCGGAAACUGCAUUGAAUACUAUCUUGCUUGAGGAUUGGAGGGAGGCUGGAAUUCUCGGUGUAGCAGUGAAAUGCGUAGAUAUCGAGAGGAACACCAGUGGCGAAGGCGAGUCUCUAGACAACUCCUGACACUGAGGCACGAAAGCUAGGGGAGCAAACAGG